CAAAUUAACAAGCAACCAAUCAAUUAAGAAGAGCUAAGUAAGAGAGUGGGAAGCCUUGUAAGUAGUCUUGUAAGAGUGUGAGUGCUCUAGAGUUUGUCUCUAGAAAGUAAGUGAGUGUCAUUGCUUCUAAGAGUGUCCUUUGAGAGUGUUGUAAUAUUUUGUUUGUGUAAUACAAGUAAUUUGUUUACUUGUGUUGUCUCUCCAAUACUUGUGUUAGAGUUCUGUACUCUAAUUUUUUCCAACAAAUUUAACCAGCAACAAAUCAGGGUUUUGCAAAUUUCAACUCACAGGAUAAAUGGCAUCCGAACCCGUCAAUGUGAAUGAGUACCAAGAAUUGGCUAGGCAAGCCCUUCCGAAGAUGUACUAUGACUUUUACACUGGGGGAGCUGAGGACCAGCACACGCUAAAAGAGAACGUUGAAGCAUUUCGCAGAAUCACGUAAAUGUUUAAAUCUACUGCUAAAUGCUCAAAAAUAUGGUAUAAUUACAUGAGUGAUACCUGUGUCUUUGUUCCAGGUUGCGGCCUAGAAUUCUCAUCGAUGUUAGCAGAAUAGAUAUGUCAACUACCAUACUGGGUUACAAAAUUUCAGCGCCUAUAAUGCUUGCUCCUACUUCUAUGCAUCAGUUAGCUCACCCCGAAGGAGAGGUUGCCACUGCUAGAGCAGCAGCUGCAUGUAACACCAUAAUGAUUUUGUCCAGUAUAUCUAGCUGCACUGUGGAGGAGGUUGCCUCCAGCUGCGAUGCUGUUCGGUUCUUUCAACCAUAUGUAUUUUUUCACUCUUUAGCUUAAUUUUGUUUUACAGUGAUAUUUCUUCUUAUUUCCUUCAUUUUUAAGUCUCUAUCCUUAAAAUAUCAAGAGUGGCCACUAGCGAAAAGAAAAGUUCACUUUUGAAAAAAAAUUGGCCAAACACGCAUUUCAUCAUUCUAUGCUCUUCCACUUUCUCAGGCCCCAUUCCCACAAAGAAAGUUUUUUUUCUUUUUUCUCUAAUCAGUAAUUCAGCAAAUAAGUUUCCAACUCUCAAAUAAAUUUCAUCAGUUCAUCAUGCUUUCUUAAUUUUUGUAGUUUUUAGUGGUGUAUUCGCUUGCCAUAUUGAAGCCUUUUGCUCUGCAGUAAUACUUUUCAGAUUACAAAAAUAAAAAAGAAUUUUGAGUAGUGGGAUGAAUGUGUUAACCAACCCCAUUGAUUUAAUUUUCUGGUGUUUCAGGCAGCUAGAUUGCUUGAAACCUGAAAACUGACGACGAUCGGUUGACUAAUGAAUUUUUAUGUUUUCAAGGAUAAAUGGCUUCAUCAGAACCUGUCAAUGUGAAUGAAUUUCAACAACUGGCUAGGCAAGUCCUUCCGAAACUGCACUGCGAUUACUAUACAGGGGGAGCUGAGGACGACCAAUGCUACAGGAGAACGUUGAAGCAUUUUGCAGAAUCAUGUCGCGGCCUAGAUUUUUUGUCGAAGUUAGCUGAAUAGACAUGUCAAAUACUGUGUUGGGGUACAAAAUCUCAGCGCCGAUAAUGAUUGCUCAUACUGCAAGGCAGCAGCCAGCUCACCCCGAAGAUCUAAAAUCUAUAUACCGCCUUUCAAGAGUUCUCUGUUGAGAUUGGGUUAGGACACUAAUUUCUACCAGCUCUUUUAUAUCGAAUACAGGAGAGGUUGCUACUGCUAGAACAGCAGCUUCAUGUAGCACCAUAAUGAUAUAUGUUUGAGUAACUUACGACAUGCAUUAGCUAAUACGCGUUGUUUACUAUUUGAAUUGUAGCUUUUCCGUUGUAGAUUUUGUCCAGUAGGUUUUCCUGUACCGUGGAGGAGGUUGCUUCCAGCUGCAACGCUGUUCGGUUCUUUCAAUUAUAUGUACUUGUUCUCACUUGAGCUCGUUUCAAUUUUCGGUAGCUCUGAUUUCUAUUUUAUUAGUUACUAUCCCUUCCAGCCUAUCAGAGCUCAUCAAGCUAUCAAACAGAACGGUUUUCUGAACAGGUUUACGAGGGAAUAUCAGCUGAGAUAGCUCGCAGAGCUGAAAAAAGCUGGAUACCAAGCCUUUCCUAACCGUCGAUGCUCCCACAUUCGGUCGAUGGUAGGCAGACAUAAAGAAUCGGUCGUGUCAUCCUACUUUAUUACAAAUAUGUUGUUUUGCUGACACUUAUGUUGUUCAUUGAAUAAUAUCUUAUGCAUCUCGUUUAGCAAAUGCGGUCACAACUGUCGCAGAAGGGUUGAAGCUCGAUUGAAGAAUUUGGAAGUAACUUCUUGCGCUGAUGAAACUUUGCGUAGCGUAAAUCUGUAUAUUGUGAUAUAUCCAUAACGAUGAGCAGAUGUAUACAUGAAGUGCACAAAAUAAAGAGAACAAUAGGCGACAUUUAUAUCUGUGUACGAUCCAAGUGAAAGUUCAUAUAUAUAUGACACUUGUUUGGUCAUUGAAAUGCAUAAGUUUUUGUUAGUGUUCUUGAUUUAUCUGAGUUAUGCGAUAUGGAGAUAGAGAGAGAGAGGAUUGAAGGAUGCAAAAGGAAUGAAUGUUCUUCUUCUCUCUUACAGAAAUUGCAGAGAGGAAUAUAUUUCUCUUAAUGGAAAAUUUUAGCACACACACGUGCAUUUCAUGACGGUUAGCCUUAGCUGGAUCCACACACAUCACAUUUGAUCUCAACCACACAUCUAGCUAAUUUAUAGGAUCACUACACAUGGCUAUUUUAGCCUUACAUAUUGUAGCCUCACACUAGUCAUUCGAAAAGACUAAGUGCAUACACAAUUAAUCAUUCAAGGCUUCUUAUUUACUAAUCAGCUCAUUACUUACAAUUCUACAGUUUUAUACUCCUUUUCUGUGCAUGUCUUCUUACGCUCGCUAUUUCUUUUCGUCUUGAACGCUUAGUUAUUGCAUCGAUUGAUUGAGUACGCGGGACAUAGGACGGCUGAAAUAUAUUACGAACAUGCCAAUUUUAAUCAAGGGGUCUUACUCAUGGAAGAUGCAAGAAAGGCCGUGGAAGUAGGAGUUGCUGUGAUUGUUGUCUCGAACCGUGGAGGCCGCCAACUCGAUUGUACUCCUCCCACUAUUUCUGUCCUGGAUGAGUGCAACUCUAUCAACUGCUGCUUCAUCAUUUCUUUUUUCCUGUUACGAAUUCAAUUGGAAAGUUGUAUGAUAAGGUGUUCAGGUGGUUCAUGCUGUUGGAGGAAAAUUUCCUGUUCUUUUCGAUGGAGAAGGCUAUGGAAGGCGUGUUCAAGGCGUUAACCCUCGGUGCACAAACUGUUCUCGAUGGAAGGCUGGUUAUCUACGGCCUUGCAGCAGGCGGAGAACGGGGAGUGAGGUGGGUGAUCGAAAUGCUCGAGGAUGGGUUUGAGCUGACAAUGGCCCUUUCUUGCUGUCCUAGCGUCAAAGAUAUUACCAGGAGCCAUGUGAGAACACUAAGUGAUCAUAAACUCUUUGACCAAAGAAAAAAAAAUCAUAAACUCAACUCCAUGGGAGAAAUUGCAAAUUGUAAACUAGCUAAUGCAACUCAAAUUGUUGUUUUCUUUUUUUUUUUUUUUUUUUUUGACGAGACGGGUGAUUUGAACUUUGAAUAAUUUUUUGCAAAAAUGAUGUUUAUAUGAUAAUAAACACAUUGAAUGAUUUUGAUCACAUUGUUUGUACGGUAAAAUGCGUUAAUCUUAAGUGGGAUUCUCCCAUGGAAAGGACACUAGGUACAAAAAGAAAAUAAUUUGGUCACACAAAAAAAAAAGUCAGAAAAUUGCAAAUACUUUCACACUCAAUCUUCACUUAUAAACACUAACCAAUCCCCAAGAAUUUAUACACUUGUAGAGCAGCAGAGAGAUGGAUCUUAUUUCUUAGGAGCCCCCUCUAGCACAAACCAUUGCACUCCGGUAAAUGUAUAUUCACCUUUAUGCCCCGGAAAAAAGGUGAUAUCAUGUACCAAGCUCAUAGUUCUUCUGCCAAAAAUUAUUUGAACAGUGCAUGUAAAGUUUACCGUGUUAUUAAGGACUAAUACGUCUAAAUGUCAACUUAACUGUGGGAUUUGAGGGGGAGGCUUCUGACAAGAGCGGCUGAACUAUUUCCUCCCGAGAACACCCCCGAAGAUCUGAUAUUGUUGCUACGGAUUACCAACAGAGUUACUCUUGUUUACACCUUGAAGGUCCAUAGGAGAAUUUGCCAUACUACCGACUGAGCCGUGCGUUUGAGAGCUUAGCUGUGGGCUUGCGGGACAAGCCUCUG